rnacentral:rRNA from 1 species
AUACGGAGGAUCCGAGCGUUAUCCGGAUUUAUUGGGUUUAAAGGGUGCGCAGGCGGCCAUUUAAGUCAGCGGUUAAAUCGUGGGGCUCAACCCCAUUCUGCCGUUGAUACUGGGUGGCUUGAUUGCGGUCGAGGUUGGCGGAAUUCGUUGUGUAGCGGUGAAAUGCAUAGAUAUGACGAAGAACACCGAUUGCGUAGGCAGCUGACCAGACCGCAAAUGACGCUCAUGCACGAAAGUGCGGGGAUCGAACAGGAUUAGAUACCCUGGUAGUCUGCACAGUAAACGAUGAAUACUUGUUUUCGGCGAUAUAAUGUCGGAGGCAAAGCGAAAGCGAUAAGUAUUCCACCUGGGGAGUUCGCCGGCAACGGUGAAACUCAAAUGAAUUGACGGGG